UACGGAGGAGGCAAGCGUUAUCCGGAAUUAUUGGGCGUAAAGCGUCCGCAGGUGGUUAAUCAAGUCUGCUGUCAAAGCGCGAGGCUCAACUUCGUAAAGGCAGUGGAAACUGAUUGACUUGAGUUUGGUAGGGGUAGAGGGAAUUCCCAGUGUAGCGGUGAAAUGCGUAGAUAUCUGGAGGAACACCGGUGGCGAAGGCGGCAUCCUGGACCGACAUUGACGCUGAGGCGCGAAAGCCAGGGGAGCAAACGGG
rnacentral:rRNA from 1 species